rnacentral:rRNA from 1 species
GUGGGGAAUUUUGGACAUUGGGCGAAAGCCUGAUCCAGCCAUGCCGCGUGCAGGAUGAAGGCCUUCGGGUUGUAAACUGCUUUUGUACGGAACGAAAAGACUCUGGUUAAUACCUGGGGUCCAUGACGGUACCGUAAGCAUAAGCACCGUCUAACUACGUGCCAGCAGCCGCGGUAAUACGUAGGGUGCAAGCGUUAAUCGGACUUACUGGGCGUAAAGCGUGCGCAGUCGGUUAUAUAAGACAGAUGUGGAAUCCCCGGGCUCAACCUGGGAACUGCAUUUGUGACUGUAUAGCUAGAGUACGGCAGAGGGGGAUGGAAUUCCGCGUGUAGCAGUGAAAUGCGUAGAUAUGCGGAGGAACACCGAUGGCGAAGGCAAUCCCCUGGGCCUGUACUGACGCUCAUGCACGAAAGCGUGGGGAGCAAACAGGAUUAGAAACCCUUGUAGUCC